rnacentral:rRNA from 1 species
UACGAAGGGGGCUAGCGUUGCUCGGAAUCACUGGGCGUAAAGCGCACGUAGGCGGCUUUCUAAGUCAGGGGUGAAAUCCUGGAGCUCAACUCCAGAACUGCCUUUGAUACUGGCGAUCUCGAGUCCGGGAGAGGUGAGUGGAACUGCGAGUGUAGAGGUGAAAUUCGUAGAUAUUCGCAAGAACACCAGUGGCGAAGGCGGCUCACUGGCCCGGUACUGACGCUGAGGUGCGAAAGCGUGGGGAGCAACAGG